AAGGGCACCACAAGAACGCGUGGAGCAUGUGGCUUAAUUUGACUCAACGCGGGAAAUCUUACCGGGUCCGGACACACUGAGGAUUGACAGGCAAUAUUGAAUUAUUUUUAAUAAUUCAUGUAUAAAUAUGCUAGUCCUUUCAUGAUUAUGUGAUAGGUGGUGCAUGGCCGUUCUUAGUUCGUGGAGUGAUCUGUCUGCUUAAUUGCGUUUCACAUAGGGCCUAUAAACACGUGUGUUGCACUUUCUCUUUGACCCCUUCUUCCUUUUUGGAUUUAGCGUGUGUCUUUGAGGAUUAUGCUCGCACAAGUAGGUCCUGAAAGCAACGAACGUGACCGCAACCUCUUGUUGUCCUUUACACAAUCCUUCGCUUUUGUCUUUUGACUUUCGCGGAGUAACAGGGACUAUCUAAACUAGAGGGACCGCUGUAAUCUUUUUAAACCAGAGGAAGGUUGCGGCAAUAACAGGUCUGUGAUGCCCUUAGAUGUUCCGGGCUGCACACGUGCUACAAUGAUUAUUGCAGUGAGCAUCUCAUACUACACACCGCUUGCGCGAAGUCACUUUUGCGUAUCUCAAUUCGUAAUUGUGAUCUUUUGCGCGCGGUAAAGCCUGCUUCGAAAGUAAGCGGGUAAUCAAUUAGAAGUAAUGAUUUCCUUUUUUUCGCACACAUAUAUACGGCAUUGUUACCCGGAAUAGGCUCGUUCUUAUUUUUUGUGUGUAUCAAUGUUCCGUAUGUGCAAUUGUCAAUUCAUGGUGGGGACAGACCAUUGUUAAUUGUUGGUCUCGGUCUUAACUAGGAAUGCCUUGUACGGGUCUUUGGUUCAACAGACCACCCGGAAUACGUCCCUGCCCUUUGUACACACCGCCCGUCGCUCUUACCGAUGGACUUCUCUGUGAGUUUGAGGGACUGGAACUUUGUAUUUUUAUGCAAUACCUCUAUGGAAACUUAAACGAACAGUGUGGUCUAAAGGAAAGAGAAGUCG
rnacentral:rRNA from 1 species